CAACAUAUCAAGACAAUACAAAAUGCUCAGAAGCCAAGCGUAACAAGAGUAUUUCAUUGAAGAACCAAUUGAUCGGUUGGCCUCCUUAUGUGU
rnacentral:snoRNA from 1 species